UCUUUUCUUUCGCACUUCAUCUUUUCUUUCUCUCUCUUACCUGCAUCAUCAUCUCUCUCCAUCUUUUCUCUCUCUCUCUCGUCUGCAUCAUCUCUCUUCUUCUUCUUUCUUCUCUCUCCAACUUAGCCCAAAAAAAAACCUGCAUCUUCUCUCUCUUCUUCUUUCUUCUCCCCUACCUGCAUCGUCUCUCUCCCCUAUCUGCAUCAUCAUCAUCUCUCUCUUCAUUUUCUU
rnacentral:lncRNA from 1 species